rnacentral:rRNA from 1 species
UACGUAGGGUGCAAGCGUUAAUCGGAAUUACUGGGCGUAAAGCGUGCGCAGGCGGUUUUGUAAGUCAGAUGUGAAAUCCCCGGGCUUAACCUGGGAACUGCAUUUGUGACUGCAUGGCUGGAGUGCGGGCAGAGGGGGGAUGGAAUUCCGCGUGUAGCAGUGAAAUGCGUAGAGAUGCGGAGGAACACCGAUGGCGAAGGCAGCCCCCCUGGGCUGACACUGACGCCUCAUGCACGAAAGCGUGGGGAGCAACAGG